GAUGAACGCUGGCGGCGUGCCUAAUACAUGCAAGUCGAGCGAACAGAUAAGGAGCUUGCUCCUUUGACGUUAGCGGCGGACGGGUGAGUAACACGUGGGUAACCUACCUAUAAGACUGGGAUAACUUUGGGAAACCGGAGCUAAUACCGGAUAAUAUUUCGAACCGCAUGGUUCGAUAGUGAAAGAUGGUUUUGCUAUCACUUAUAGAUGGACCCGCGCCGUAUUAGCUAGUUGGUAAGGUAACGGCUUACCAAGGCGACGAUACGUAGCCGACCUGAGAGGGUGAUCGGCCACACUGGAACUGAGACACGGUCCAGACUCCUACGGGAGGCAGCAGUAGGGAAUCUUCCGCAAUGGGCGAAAGCCUGACGGAGCAACGCCGCGUGAGUGAUGAAGGUCUUCGGAUCGUAAAACUCUGUUAUUAGGGAAGAACAUACGUGUAAGUAACUGUGCACGUCUUGACGGUACCUAAUCAGAAAGCCACGGCUAACUACGUG
rnacentral:rRNA from 1 species